CAAAUUUAGAGACAGUAAUUUCAACAUUGAUGUUGGUAAUAAUUGAAUAACUUUUGAAUUAUUAUUAUUGAUUUAAACUAACUUCAGUAGAUUUGGAUUUCAAUGUCAAAUAUUAGAAGUGGAAAGAUUCUGUUGGAUAUGCUCAGGUAGAUUAAUUCAAAUGGAUAUUGAAGACAUCCAGUGGCGGAGAUUUUUAAUACAAUGAUUUUUUUAAACAUUCAAGUCUGCCCCCUUUGGGGUAAUUCCGCUAAAAAGUUGCAAAAAUAGCUACAGCUGUAGGCUACAAGAGUGUAAUGACAAUAAGCCCUAUGUUUCCUUAUCUAAAAAGCCCAUGUAGUCUCAAUAACAGGUUCUAGCAGGUCUACAAAUCUAGCACAGUAAAUCUCCUGAUCCUGUUGAGUAUUUACUGAAGGUACUUUUGAAUAGUUUAGUAUCUUUAGAUGAACAACUCAUAAUAUGAUACAAAAAAAGACUACCAAUACAUUUUCCAAGGCUAACAACAACACAAAACUCAAUCAUGUAAUCAUAUGGCAUUAGAAUGUAUCUAAUGCAUAAAUAUUUAUAAACAUACAUAUAAAGGUUCGUUUACAACAAUCCCUGAACAUCUACAAAGGUGUAUCUGAAUAGCUAUCAAACUUGGAAAUGUCAAUUUCUGAAUUUCGCUAUUUCAUUAUUGACUUUUCAAGACUGUUUGGUCCAUUUUACACUAGCUCAAAAAGAGUUGUAUAUUGUCUGUGCCAUUCGUCCAUGGACUUCAAAACAUAAUAAUAAUGAUAAUACUCGUCUUCAUUCAUCACAAAAUAAUAUAUGAUAUCUCAUUUGUAUUCACAUAGAUUUAAAAAAAACCCAUGACAAAACGGCGAAGUAUCAGCUGAAACUAUUUUUCAACUCAACCCUGCACCAAGGAACUUGUCUUGUGAGGUCUCUAAUUUGUUAUUGAAAAGGAUUUUUUUCUCCCCUUUAAAACCUUCUUAGAACCUUCACUGCCAAAGGUGGUAUUAUAAAUCUAUGACAGAAAAUCUAGCAGGACACAGUUUAGUAAAAAUCGGAAACCAAGUCGUAUGUUUUCUGUAAGAAAACAUGAUGAGACAUGUCAGGGCACAUGUCAAUAAGUAUUCCAGGACACAUAUAUUCGCAGGCUGCUAUGAUUGAUUUAUCAAUGUCAAACUACACAUCAAUAUGUCUUCACACAAUCACAUGACUAUCUGAUAUAGAAUAAACUUUCUCAGGAACUCGAUAGACUAUUUGAAAUCAAACAGUUAUACAUACCUCUGGAACUUUUGAUUCAAGCUCCAAUAGAUUUCGUUUUGGAAUAAUGCAUAGAAGCUGCUAAUUCCAUCAAAAAUGGAGCCUGAUUGAAGCAGGCCAAAUACCACAAUUGCUUGUUCAGAACAACUAGGGAGUUGGAUUACUUCCAUGGCCUGAAGAUACAGGGAAGUGUUUAACUGACUUGAUUACAUACAGUGUUUUACUGUAUGUAAGAACUACGCUGAAAACUACAGUUUCCGCAAGCUUCUAGGUCCCUCCAGUCUAUCUUGAAGUACACUUUUCAAAAACUAUAUAAGAGUGAAAAAAAAGAAAGUGUUCACGUGGAAUACAUUUUCCGAAACGGUUUUUUCUGAAUGAAUGAAUCAACAUUAUUGCUACCCUCCUAACGUCUCAAGUAUUUUCUUGCUCGUAUAUCCCCAAAACAAAUAUUAAAAAAUGUAAUGUUCUCCAAUGAUUUUAGGUAAGUGAAAUACACUUAUUCAAAUAACCUUCAUUUUGUGUUUAUAGUCUGAUAUUGCAGGCAAGGCUUGGCUGAUAAUCUAGAUUCCCGAAUUUCCAUAUCCUAUUUUGGAACAUUUGAAAUCCCGAAGUUAAUCAAUUUCAAUUGAUGUGGAUAAAAAUGGAUUCAAUCUCAGUGAAAGAGUCACUCAUAGAGUUUGAAUCAAGCUGUCAAUCGGUUUCGAUCCCAGAAGAGAAGUCCUUUGGGAACAGUCUCAAAACUUCCACCCCUGAAUUGGAAGUUAUUCAGUUCGAUUUGUGCCCAACGGAAAGAUAUUUGAAAGAAAACUCAAUCUUUUAGCACCAAGCACUACGUUCUAUGAGUAGGAUUAGAUCAGUUAGAUCUAGAUGCUAGAGCAUCGUGACUUGAACGAACCAAAUGAAGAAGGACUCGAAGUUUUACGGGACGAAGAUAUGGCGAUAUGGAACAUUUCUAUAUAUGGAGACUAGGACCUGGCUGAGAGGAAUGUUGCGAAUCCGGAGCUGCUAAGUUGCACCGUUUCUCACAAUAACACCUUAGUUGUAGUUGCAUAAUUUGUAGUACGUAGUGACUAGUGAU